GGCGGUAUAGCUCAGCGACAGAGCGCGUGCUCCGCAUGCACGAGGUCCUGGGUUCAAUCCUCAGUCCCUCCA
rnacentral:tRNA from 1 species